ensembl:lncRNA
AAACGUGCCCAGUCAUAUUUGGAUGCGUAACUGGCUGCCACAGCCUAGCUAAGCUGAUACAGAAAACUCCUCACCACAGCCAAACCACCAGAGUCCUACCAUGUGUCGUGGUUUCUUCUCUACUAUCAGAUCAUAUCAGACCAGUCAUCCAGUCGUGUCCGACUCUUUGCGACCCCAAGAAUCGCAGCACGCCAGGCCUCCCUGUCCAUCACCAACUCCCGGAGCUCACUGAGACUCAUGCCUGGAUGCUUUGAUUUACUAUCUUGGCUGGGAGGAGGGAGAAGGAAAUAAUUUUGGAAUCUUCCACUUGGUCUUUCCAAUAAAAUCAAGGAUUCAAAAUGAAGAACACUCCAGCCUCCAACUGGCAACUCAAUUGUAUAUUUGGAGACAGAGAAAUGACAGCCAGUUAUGUCUGUUGUCACAGUGGAUCCACUCUGAGCCAGACUUUAGCAGGAUUCCAUUCAUUCCAUGACUCCUGUGGUUUGCACUGUUACUGGAGGACCAUGAUGAUACACGGAGUCAACUCAGACUCUGUGUCUUAUAGUUCUCUGGUUAUUUCCCUCUCCCCAGUACAUUAAAUCACAUGAGUAAAUGACUGUAAGUCUCUUUGGGGAAGGAUUAGGGGACUCAGAACAGUGUACACC